UACGUAGGGUGCGAGCGUUGUCCGGAAUUAUUGGGCGUAAAGGGCUCGUAGGCGGUUUGUCGCGUCGGGAGUGAAAACACUGGGCUUAACUCAGUGCUUGCUUCCGAUACGGGCAGACUAGAGGUAUGCAGGGGAGAACGGAAUUCCUGGUGUAGCGGUGAAAUGCGCAGAUAUCAGGAGGAACACCGGUGGCGAAGGCGGUUCUCUGGGACGGUACUGACGCUGAGACGCGAAAGCGUGGGGAGCGAACAGG
rnacentral:rRNA from 1 species